AGCAGCCGCGGUAAUUCCAGCUCCAAUAGCGUAUAUUAAAGUUGUUGCGGUUAAAAAGCUCGUAGUUGAAUUUCGGGAUCAAUUUAUCGGUCGUGCCAAUGGUAUGAACUGGUACAAUUGGUCUCUCCCUUCUGAAGAACCAUGAUGUCAUUAAUUUGGUGUUGUGGGGAAUCAGGACUGUUACUUUGAAAAAAUUAGAGUGUUUAAAGCAAGCAUUAGCUUGAAUACAUUAGCAUGGAAUAAUGAAAUAGGACGUUUGAUCCUAUUUCGUUGGUUUCUAGGAUCGACGUAAUGAUUAAUAGGGAUAGUUGGGGGCAUUAGUAUUCAAUUGUCAGAGGUGAAAUUCUUGGAUUUAUUGAAGACUAACUACUGCGAAAGCAUUUGCCAAGGAUGUUUUCAUUAAUCAAGAACGAAAGUUAGGGGAUCGAAGACGACCAGAUACCGUCGUAGUCUUAACCAUAAACUAUGCCGACUAGGGAUCGGAUGAUGUUAAUUUUUUAAUGACUCA
rnacentral:rRNA from 1 species